CAAAUCAUAUAGCUUACUCUAAAAUAAAGAAUCUUUAAUAAAUGAAAUUAAAACCAUGACCAUAUUAUACAAUAAGAAUUCAUAUUAAUUUUGAAACAAGAUGUUGAUGACAUAUCUAUCACUCAAGAACAUUAUACGAAAAGAUUUGAAGAACUGAGAGCCAGUGAACAUGUCAAGGUUGUAACAUAGACACGAGUCUCUAUGUAAAACCAUUAACACGCGAUAUUAUCUAAAGUAGCUUGCUCUUGUAGCAUCUUUAUCAACUUCCAACGCCAAAUUGUAUGACUAACACAUAAGGCAGCUGCUACAUACUCGACUUUACAAGUUAAGAAAGGAACCGAAAAAAGAAAAAGAGAAAAAACAAGAGAAUAUCAUCAUAGGUUGCUUCUUAAGCACCAAAGUGAAUGUCAUUACUGAUAAAGAAAUGGACCUUGGGCCUAACUCAACCUCAAAAGCUAGUUCAUGAGGGGAGGAUUGCCCAAGACCAUAUAAGGAGACCAAGGACCCUUUAACCCACCGAUGUGGGACUCCAACACCCCACGCACGCCCAGGGUGGACAUCUGGAGCGUGGACAAUAUAAGACGGGGGUCCCAACAUUGAAAACAGUGAGCGUGGACAAUAUAAGAUGGGGGGCCCAACAUCGGAAACAAUGAACUGGUUGGGCCUGACUUUGAUACCAUGAUAAAGAAAUGGACCUUGGGACUAACUCAACCUCAAAAGCUAGCUCAUGAGGGGAGGAUUGCCCAAGACCAUAUAAGGAGACCAAGGAUCCUUUAACCCACCGAUGUGGGACUCCAACAAUUACUCUAAAAGAAAAGAUUGCAGUGUGAAGCAUCGUAGCGAUGCGUAGGGUCGGGGGAAGACGGCCAUACCACAG
rnacentral:lncRNA from 1 species